GAGCAGGGAGCGGUCACGGGCCGCCUCCUUACCAUCCCUUAACUUCACCUCCGGAAAUGCUCUGUUCCCCACAAAUGGGGAACUGUGUGUCUGGCGAGUUGAGAAACCACCUGGCGCAGCCUGAACGUGCCUCGGCAUAAACGUGGCCACCCGUGCACCCACGGUAGCCGUGACACCCGCGGUAGCCAUAACAACCGCGGUAGCCGUGACGCCCGCGUGCCGUCCAGUGAGCACACCUGCAGUGGAGCGGGGUGGAGGAAUAGCCCGAAUGGAGCGGUGAAAGUCUGUGGGAUCGAUUAUUAUUUCCUUUUCACGAGCUGCUUUUAAUGCUCAGCCUGUGUUCAAGUGCCCGCAUCAGCUAAACAUAGCGCUGUACUUAAUAGUGUUCUCAAUGAUUUGGCUCAGUCAAAACAUGAAACCGUGGAAUUUGCACUUUUAAUGCCAUGUUGAGUCAUUUGUAUUUUUUUUUUUUUUUUUUUUUUUUAAGUCUUUCUUUGUAAUCUGCUGCAAAGCUGCAUAGCCUUCAUACGGGCUUGCUGUCAAAUAGCAAAAUGAAAAGGUUCAUUUAUUUUUUCAAAAGUUCCGGACACACCAGUGUUGUUUUUGGCCACUCGUUUGGAGUAAGCUGACGAUGUAGCAGUGGAACUUUAAUCCGUGAAAACAACUGAGAAAUAAGAUAAGGAUCGUUUCCUGUUUUGGACAGUGACAUCAUAUGGUUCUCAGUCUGAGGUCAUAUUGAGCAUUGCUUUACGAUUUGGACACUAAAAACUUUCAAACCAAAAAAAUUCUGUAUAAGGCUGGUUUCUCUCAGCAGCGCUGUAAAGGCUGUGCUCUUAAAAGCUUUAUCAGAAAUAGAUUUGGCUUUGUUCUGAUGUUAAAAAUAUGGCACUCCCUUAAUUUAUUUGGGCACGGCACUUUAGUUUUAACAAUAUUCCACUUGUAAAAAUGAAUUCUUGCAAGCAUGCUGUACUGACAAUGAUAAGUUAUAUAUAUAUAUGUAUAAUUGAACAUACCUUCAUAUCUUUUUCUAAUUAGUUUCGCUUUAGGACUCAUUACAGCCAUUCCUAUACAGCGCAAUCUGAAGUGGACAUCAGACUUAUCUGUUCCCUUCUUCAUGGUUCUAACAAAUUCAGUUAUUUUCUGAAAAGCUACGAGCGCAUUGUGCGGAAAUGGUUUGUGAGGGAGCGAGGCAGAGGUGUGGAUUAACCUGCCCUCCGUGGGAGAGCUGGAAGGUCUGGACGGAGUGUAGCACAGUGGGUAAGGAACUGGGCUUGUAACCGAAAGGUCGCCGGUUCGAUUCCCGGGUAAGGACACUGCCGUUGUACCCUUGAGCAAGGUACUUUACCUGCAUUGCUUCAGUAUAUAUCCAGCUGUAUAAAUGGAUACAAUGUAAAAUGCUAUGUAAAAAGUUGUGUAAGUCUCUCUGGAUAAGAGCGUCUGCUAAAUGCCUCUAAUGUAAUGUAAUGUAAUGUAAUGUCUGAGGAUCGGGGUCUGUCGGGCCACACGGGACCUACAUUUGCUUUAUGUGAAAGGGCCGUGGUCAAGGGUGGGAUUAUCACUAAUCGUCGUAAUCCCAGAUUAUGGAAAUGUGGGAAUUUUUAAAUUGACACGUUUCAAGCAGGCGAGCAGGACAGCCCUCUGUAGCCUUUGAGGUUUUUGGCUGGCGGGAAUGAUCACGCUCAAGCAUUUAGCCAACAGCACUGCGGAAGUGUGUCCGGUGAGGUCUCGGGGUGUGUUGGGUCAGAGUUGGGUCCAGCAAAGGCCAGUGAGGUCUCAGGCUGUGUUGGGUCAGAGUUGGGUCCAGCAAAGGCCAGUGAGGUCUCAGGGUGUGUUGGGUCAGAGUUGGGUCCGGCAAAGGCCAGUGAGGUCUCAGGGUGUUGGGUAGGAGUUGGAUCCAGCAAAGGCCAGUGAGGUCUCAGGGUGUUGGGUAGGAUUUGGGUCCAGCAAAGGCUCUCCUAGAUGGAGCUACAGUGAGCUGUCCAUCGCUGGUGCAUUUGGACCAAUCGGAACAACUCAAUGUCUUGCACCAAAACCAAUUGGUCCACAUUGGUGUGUGUGUGUGAUAGCCCCUCCCAUUUUGGGUUUCCUGGUGCCUCACUCUGGUCCUGGGGACUUUGCUCUAUGUAGUCUGGUGGCUGUAAAAAAUUCCAUUCUGACUUUUGUAGCCACGUCCAAAAUAAUGUGC